rnacentral:rRNA from 1 species
UUGCACGCUGGCGGCAGACCUAACACCUGCAAGUCGCGCGGAUGAAGGGAGCUUGCUCCUGGAUUCAGCGGCGGACGGGUGAGUAAUGCCUAGGAAUCUGCCUGGUAGUGGGGGAUAACGUCCGGAAACGGGCGCUAAUACCGCAUACGUCCUGAGGGAGAAAGUGGGGGAUCUUCGGACCUCACGCUAUCAGAUGAGCCUAGGUCGGAUUAGCUAGUUGGUGGGGUAAAGGCCUACCAAGGCGACGAUCCGUAACUGGUCUGAGAGGAUGAUCAGUCACACUGGAACUGAGACACGGUCCAGACUCCUACGGGAGGCAGCAGUGGGGAAUAUUGGACAAUGGGCGAAAGCCUGAUCCAGCCAUGCCGCGUGUGUGAAGAAGGUCUUCGGAUUGUAAAGCACUUUAAGUUGGGAGGAAGGGCAGUAAGUUAAUACCUUGCUGUUUUGACGUUACCAACAGAAUAAGCACCGGCUAACUUCGUG